CACAGAUCGAGCAACAGGUGGCACCAGUGAUCGUCCCCCCCGCCUCCUACGUGACGCAACACGGUCAGCUGAUCACCGGCAAGAUAUCGCACUGACCAGUAUCGCGACGCGUCGCCGGCGAUAAUACGUGAAGUUUUAAUGUCAGUUUUUAGCUUCGGUUUUUGUUUUUAUUUUCGUUGAUUAGUUAUUAAUUACCUGAUGAUGGCUUCCACAGAAGCCGAAAUGGCCAUCGUUUAAGUUUAAGUAGUGACAACCGAAAAAAUUCAUCGGGCGAAAAAGAAAAAAGUAAGUCAAUCACGUAGUUCCCGAUAAAGAAAACAAAGGAUUACUAACCAUGUCUGCAAAUUUUUAUGUUUAUUUCGUCACAUUUAAACUUUCAAGGGGUGCUUGGAGUAGAAAAUUUCACGAGGAAACCAAUGAAACUACUUUUAGAACCUCAAAGUUUUGAAUGAACAGAGUUAUAAGCGUUUAAAGUUCCAAACUUCGUCCGACCUCUCCUAUUGACUUGAUCCACUGUGCGCCGCCCGAGUUUCGUCAAUCCUAAGUACAGAAAUCGCGGUUUUUAAAUUUUUAAGGAAUGGAAGGAGACAAAUAUUUAAUUUUCUUUUCGAAAAAGCGAAAUUUUCCCUCAGAGUACAGCUUUUCAAAACAUAUUUCGUAAGAUCCUACACAUAUUAUUUAAUUUUAUAGGCGGAGGAUGGACGUUAUUCUUCGUCCAAUCCCUGACUGUCAUCUCAAUCGCAGUCUGGAGUUUCUUCGCAACAAUUGUUUUACUAUGGGUAGUGAAUAAAAUAUUCCCUCUGCGGCUAGAGGCCUAUCAAGAGAUGAGAGGUGCAGAUUACUACGAGCAUGGGAUAGAAGAUUCAGCUUCCGAGAAAACUGCCAAGAGUAAGGGUCGUAUAUACCUAGAAGAGCUGGACUUUUUGCUGAAAAGAACAACGGAUCUUAAUUCGGUAAGUUCAAAUAACUCUCAUUUUUCCUAAAUAAAUAGAGUGGAAUAGAUCAAUUAUACUGGAUA
rnacentral:lncRNA from 1 species